UCGCAAUGCGCGCAAGCGCGACGAGGUUAUUCCGAGUGAUUUCCGCUGAGGAGAUCUUUUCUCAGAUCUAAAAUGUCUGGGGAAUAAGGGGAGGGCAAGUCUGGUGUCAGCCGCCGCGGUAAUACCAGCUCCUCGAGUGGUCAGGGCGUUUAUUGGGCCUAAAGCAUCCGUAGCCGGCUCAGUAGGUCUUCUGUUAAAUCCAACGGCUCAACCGUUGGUCUGCAGGAGAUACCGCUGGACUAGGAGGCGGGAGAGGCGGACGGUACUCCGAGGGUAGGGGUAAAAUCCUUUGAUCCCCGGAAGACCACCAGUGGCGAAGGCGGUCCGCCAGAACGCGCUCGACGGUGAGGGAUGAAAGCUGGGGGAGCGAACCGG
rnacentral:rRNA from 1 species